GACGAACGCUGGCGGCGUGCCUAACACAUGCAAGUCGAGCGAAUGAAGUUCCUUCGGGAAUGGAUUUAGCGGCGGACGGGUGAGUAACACGUGGGCAACCUGCCUCAUAGAGGGGAAUAGCCUCCCGAAAGGGAGAUUAAUACCGCAUAAGAUUGUAGUACCGCAUGAUACAGCAAUUAAAGGAGCAAUCCGCUAUGAGAUGGGCCCGCGGCGCAUUAGCUAGUUGGUGAGGUAAUGGCUCACCAAGGCGACGAUGCGUAGCCGACCUGAGAGGGUGAUCGGCCACAUUGGGACUGAGACACGGCCCAGACACCUACGGGAGGCAGCAGUGGGGAAUAUUGCACAAUGGGGGAAACCCUGAUGCAGCAACGCCGCGUGAGUGAUGACGGCCUUCGGGUUGUAAAGCUCUGUCUUCAGGGACGAUAAUGACGGUACCUGAGGAGGAAGCCACGGCUAACUACGUG
rnacentral:rRNA from 1 species